UACGGGGGGAGCAAGCGUUGUUCGGAUUUACUGGGCGUAAAGGGCGCGUAGGCGGUCAGCACAAGUCAGUUGUGAAAUCUCCGGGCUUAACCCGGAAAGGUCAACUGAUACUGUGCGACUAGAGUGCGGAAGGGGCAACUGGAAUUCUCGGUGUAGCGGUGAAAUGCGUAGAUAUCGAGAGGAACACCUGCGGCGAAGGCGGGUUGCUGGGCCGACACUGACGCUGAUGCACGAAAGCCAGGGGAGCGAACGGG
rnacentral:rRNA from 1 species